UACGAAGGGGGCUAGCGUUGCUCGGAAUCACUGGGCGUAAAGCGCACGUAGGCGGCUUUCUAAGUCAGGGGUGAAAUCCUGGAGCUCAACUCCAGAACUGCCUUUGAUACUGGAGAGCUUGAGUCCGGGAGAGGUGAGUGGAACACCGAGUGUAGAGGUGAAAUUCGUAGAUAUUCGGAAGAACACCAGUGGAGAAGGCGGCUCACUGGCCCGGUACUGACGCUGAUGUGCGAAAGCGUGGGGAGCAAACAGG
rnacentral:rRNA from 1 species